rnacentral:miRNA from 1 species
UGAUGAGGAUGAUGAUGAUGAUGAUGAUGAUGAUGAUGUGAUUAUGAUCAUGAUCAUCAUCAAAAAAU